CUUUACGACCACACCGGCCUGAGUACGCCUGAUCUCGUCUGAUCUCGGAAGCUAAGCAGGGUCGGGCCUGGUUAGUACUUGGAUGGGAGACUUCCUGGGAAUACCAGGUGCUGUAAGCU
ensembl:rRNA 5S_rRNA 5S ribosomal RNA